AGAGUUUGAUCCUGGCUCAGGACGAACGCUGGCGGUGUGCUUCACACAUGCAAGUCGAACGAGGUAGCAAUACCUAGUGGCGGACGGGUGAGUAACGCGUGGGAAUCUGCCUUUAGAUGGGGGAUAACGAGCCGAAAGGUUCGCUAAUACCGCAUAUGCCGCAAGGUGAAAGGAGUAAUCCGUCUAAAGAUGAGCCCGCGUCCGAUUAGCUAGUUGGUGGGGUAAAGGCCUACCAAGGCGGCGAUCGGUAGCUGGUCUGAGAGGAUGAUCAGCCACAAUGGGACUGAGACACGGCCCAUACUCCUACGGGAGGCAGCAGUGGGGAAUUUUACGCAAUGGGGGAAACCCUGACGUAGCGACACCGCGUGAGCGAAGAAGCCCCUUGGGGUGUAAAGCUCUGUCAGCUGGAACGAAACAAAUGACGGUACCAGCAGAGGAAGCAUCGGCUAACUACGUGCCAGCAGCCGCGGUAAGACGUAGGAUGCGAGCGUUGUCCGGAUUUAUUGGGCGUAAAGAGUUCGUAGGUGGUUUGUUAAGUUUGAUGUUAAAGAUCGGGGCUCAACCUCGGGACAGCAUUGAAUACUGGCAGACUUGAGUAUGGUAGAGGCUAGUGGAAUUCCCAGUGUAGCGGUGAAAUGCGUAGA
rnacentral:rRNA from 1 species